CAACUUGUAGCUGGGAGCUCGAGCGGUCCGCUGGGGACUACUCCAAGCACCCAGAGCAAACCCCUCUCUGGAGCAGUCCCGAAAAGGACUUUGAGGGCACCAACCCCCACCAAUCGUCUGGGCAAUCCUAUCCUGAAGCGUUCGGAAAGCCUCAAGGAGAACCUGGACCACCACCCAAAACGACAGAGGGCUGCUGCUCCCACCUCAGCCGCCACUGCGGCAAAACAAAUCGUGGAUCUCAAGAAGCGCCUCCGGCGAUCGAGGUCAACCUGCGACGUCGGCACAGCACCAUUGACAUUGGCAGCAUCCA